rnacentral:rRNA from 1 species
GCGGGCCGUGGGAGCGGGAGCCCGGAGAAGGGUACUGAGACAAGGACCCAGGCCCUACGGGGCGCAGCAGUCGCGAAAACUUUGCAAUAAGCGCAAGCUCGAAGGGCUAUCCCGAGUGCCAUCCGCUGAGAAGGCUUUUACCAGUCUAGAACGCUGGGGGAAUAAGGAGGGGGCAAGUCUGGUGUCAGCCGCCGCGGUAAUACCAGCUCUCCGAGUGGUGUGGAUGUUUAUUGGGCCUAAAGCAUCCGUAGCUGGCUAGGUAAGUCCCUUGUUAAAUCCACCGAAUUAAUCGUUGGAUUGCGGGGGAUACUGCUUGGCUAGGGGACGAGAGAGGCAGACGGUAUUUCCGGGGUAGGGGUGAAAUCCUAU